rnacentral:rRNA from 1 species
GGGAAACUGCCUGAUGGAGGGGGAUAACUACUGGAAACGGUAGCUAAUACCGCAUAACGUCGCAAGACCAAAGAGGGGGACCUUCGGGCCUCUUGCCAUCAGAUGUGCCCAGAUGGGAUUAGCUAGUAGGUGGGGUAACGGCUCACCUAGGCGACGAUCCCUAGCUGGUCUGAGAGGAUGACCAGCCACACUGGAACUGAGACACGGUCCAGACUCCUACGGGAGGCAGCAGUGGGGAAUAUUGCACAAUGGGCGCAAGCCUGAUGCAGCCAUGCCGCGUGUAUGAAGAAGGCCUUCGGGUUGUAAAGUACUUUCAGCGGGGAGGAAGGCGAUAAGGUUAAUAACCUUGUCGAUUGACGUUACCCGCAGAAGAAGCACCGGCUAACUCCGUGCCAGCAGCCGCGGUAAUACGGAGGGUGCAAGCGUUAAUCGGAAUUACUGGGCGUAAAGCGCACGCAGGCGGUCUGUCAAGUCGGAUGUGAAAUCCCCGGGCUCAACCUGGGAACUGCAUUCGAAACUGGCAGGCUAGAGUCUUGUAGAGGGGGGUAGAAUUCCAGGU